ensembl:ncRNA W03G11.16 ncRNA
AUCUAGUGGUUGAGUAAUGCUAAUCUACCAUCUAAGAGAUGAGACGAAGAGCUUGGGAAACGUAAACAAUCACUACCUACAAAACUCCCCAGAGAGCUACUAGUGUCAAGAAGUGUCCGGCUGGCCGUUUUUCAUGGUUCUUGUCGGCAGGCCAAUCAAAACAUGUUUAGGCUAGGCGCAAGAUACGAGGAAAUAUUCUCCAGAGGACAAGCGA